AAAAUUUGGUAUUGUUUACUGAGGGUGGUAAAGGGUUAUUUUCGUGCAACGUGAUCGCCGUUUUUUAUUUCACAUUCAAUGUGUUUUUACUUUUUGAUUUGACGUUCAGUCGUGCAAGACGGGUGCCUCGUUCAACGUGUUCUGCUUAUUUAAUUUUACGUGCAUCGUGAUUUUCAAAGUCUUAUUUUGCGUGCUCAGCAUUUUUCAAAUAAAAUUCAAACACUUGUCAGGGAUAGUCAAGAAAUACUUUUUUAAAAGCCGUAAACCAAUUAUAUCUUAAAUGUGUAUACUAAAUCGGGAAUAUCAAGUAAAACAAAGAGUUAAUAUGUAAAAGAAGACAGUGACUCAGUCACCAAAGGUACAAAUAAAAGUAUUUAUUUUUCGUGCAACGUUCAUAACAGAAAUUAUUUCACGUUCAACGUGAAAUUAUGUCUUAUUUCACGUUUUUUUCGUGCAAGCACCCCCCCUUUACCACCCUCUUUACUUCUUCUUUUUCUUUUGUUACAGAAAACCAUCAACGUACUGAUGUUUACUUUCCGGCGCAUGCCUGGUAAAUGUUUUUUAAUAAAUUUAUGUUGAUAAUUUUUGUCAAAAUAUAAAUUAACAAAAUAUUUCUUAUUCAAAGUUGUUUUUGGUCAUAUAUUUUCGUAUUUUCAAUUUUUACAAUUUUUCUUUGAUUUUAAUUUAUACAAUUUUUUAUUUAGUUUUUAAAUGUUACAUUUUUUAUUUUUAUUUUUUUGGUAUAAGAUAAAAACAAGAG
rnacentral:lncRNA from 1 species